GACGAACGCUGGCGGCGUGCCUAAUACAUGCAAGUAGAACGCACAGUUUAUACCGUAGCUUGCUACACCAUAGACUGUGAGUUGCGAACGGGUGAGUAACGCGUAGGUAACCUGCCUGGUAGCGGGGGAUAACUAUUGGAAACGAUAGCUAAUACCGCAUAAUAUUGAUUAUUGCAUGAUAAUUGAUUGAAAGAUGCUAUUGCAUCACUACCAGAUGGACCUGCGUUGUAUUAGCUAGUAGGUGAGGUAACAGCUCACCUAGGCGACGAUACAUAGCCGACCUGAGAGGGUGAUCGGCCACACUGGGACUGAGACACGGCCCAGGCUCCUACGGGAGGCAGCAGUAGGGAAUCUUCGGCAAUGGACGAAAGUCUGACCGAGCAACGCCGCGUGAGUGAAGAAGGUUUUCGGAUCGUAAAGCUCUGUUGUAAGAGAAGAACGGGUGUGAGAGUGGAAAGUUCACACUGUGACGGUAUCUUACCAGAAAGGGACGGCUAACUACGUG
rnacentral:rRNA from 1 species